GUUGGGUUGAGUGGUGUUGACCUGUAAGCUAAACUUCUGAGCAACUGAAUGUAGAACAAUAUGAGCUAUGAGAUUCUGAUUUAGGAUCUACUUAUGUAGAGAGUCGGUCUUAUUCAAGUAUUGAGUUAACAUUGGUUAAGGGAUGUAGGUUCCUUGACAAGGUUAUUAACGAAGUGGGUAAUGCGUGAGGCUGGUAACAGAGCAGCGAAAACCACUCGCUUGAUACGGUGAUUGAGAUAGCUGGCUUGAGUAAGUGACUAAUUCUGCUUAUAGUAAUAGUUAUUGGACGAAAUUCUU
rfam:Piromyces finnis strain finn BCR36scaffold_11, whole genome shotgun sequence.